GAUGUGAGGGCUGUUGGUUAGGACCCAGAUGCAGACACAGACACAGCUGGAUGGUGGUUGAAAAGCAGGUGGAUUUAUUAUAAUAAAGGUGGUAUGGGCACUGGAGAAGGCAGGGGACAGGCAGGCUGCUGAGCAGGGUGGAGUGGCUGGAGGAAUGAGCUGAGGCGGCGUGAGGAUGGCUCGAUGGGAGGCUGGCACUGGAAUCCAGAACACAGGAGAACACAAUGUUAAUACUAGAAGCACAAGAAUAACUCUGGUAAUUAUAAUACAGAGUGGCCGAGAGAAUACCAACUGGUGCAGAGUGCAGAGUGGAGAGUGAGACCAGGUGCCUGAUGAGGAAGCCGCGCCCCUGCCACACCCACAGGCAGGGGAGGGGGAGACCCAGGGGAAGCAGAACACCGGAAAACUACUGGAGUCAAGGCCAGAGCCGUGACAG